CACAUUUUGUUGCUGAGUUUCUGCUUUCAGUUCCUCUGAAACAGAAUGGUGUGUGCUGAGUUACAGUGAUGGGCUGAAUUUUUCCACACUUCCUCCUAAAGGUCUCAGUCAACAAAACAGGAAGCACAUGACUCACAUGACUGGAGCAGAGGACACAGCACAUAGUUACAGCCUGCACGAGGACGUGACUUAACAGCAACUGGAUUAAACUGAACAUAGUAAACAAAGCAAACUGGAAAUAACUCGCAAUACCAUUACUGCCUUUAUAGUUUUUAAUAGCUGGGGUUUUUUUUUCCUGAGAAAAUAAAUGGUUCACAGCUUCAUGAAAAAUAUGAGUAAAAAAAAAAAGACUUCAUUAAAAGAUGAGUAAGCUGUCUGAGAAAAGCCUAUAGGCAAUAAUGGCAAAGGAAAAACUCGAUGAGAUGACACGAGCAAGAAACCCUGAGAAGAAUCCAUCCGCUUCUAGAUGACACAGGAUUGUGGGAUACAUCAUUAGGCUAUUCUUCAACAAAUGAGGAUUGUUUAAAACAUCCAAAUCUAAUUCCAAUCUUGGAAUUUAUUAUUACCUUACAAAUUGAAAUGUCCAAGUCUACAGUAUCAUCAAGAGGCAGCAGGGUGACGCAGCAGAUAUCAUCGCAGUCUCCUGGGUCUCCGGUUCAAUCCCAGGCUCGGGUUGCUCUCUGUGAAGAGUUUCUAUGUAUGUUCUUCCUGUGUCUGUGUUUGUUUCCUCUCAUCUCCAAAAGAACAUGCUAUAGGACGUGCUAUAGGUUAUGCUACACUGUACUAGUUGUGAAUGAGUGUGUAAAUAUGUGUGUAUGGUGCCCUGUGAUGCACUGGUGUCCCCUCUAUGGUGAAUUUCCAGCUGGAAUAGGAGCCUGACCAGGAUAAAUUUGAAGAUGAAAUAAGUAAGGUUCAGCAAUGCCGGCUACAGAAGAUGUUAAUAGCCAUCUAUAAUCUAAAAUUGAAUGUACAAAGAUAACAACAUAUGCGAUUCACAUUCAGAAUUCAUAAACAUUUGCAAACAAACGUUUGAACAAAAGCAGAGAUCAGACUCUGAUAGGUUUCCUUAAAGUUAUAGCUUCGCCUUUAAUUUACCUGCAGUGAACGUUGGCCUAGGAUUUCACAAUUAAGCUGAAUCCACCCUUGAGAUAACAGAAGCUGAAUGACUGUUUGAACAGCCAGACUGAGGUAGCUGUUAAUUUCCCACCAUGCUCUGGCUAUUUCAGAUUCUUGUACAUUAUUCAUUUAUUUAUUUUUUAUUUUUUUGGAAGGUUAAAGCCAUUGUCAAAUUAUUUUCCUAAUUAGAAAGUAAAUUGAUAAGUCGUCAACUUUCUGUCAGCUACUCAGGUAUGAACACUUUUUUUUUCUGAUGAUUCAUCAUAAAGUUAGCCCUUGAGUUAUGUAAAUGGGUUUGCAGCCUGGAGGUGUGGACUGCAUGCCCUUAUGAGCCAUGAUGCUUACUGCCUGAUAUCACUCAUGUUAAAUUCACCAAAUAAAUGGAAAUCACAAUGUUUCCAACUACUACAAAAAGCUGGCAGUCAGUAUUUUAUUCUGUAAUCUUUUUUUAUAUAUAUAUAAAACUUUAUAAAUCGAAUAAAUAUGCAGUCUGUGUUUCUGACCUCAGAAACAUGACUGCUAGCAUAAUCGUCCCGAUUGUAUAACUUUUUGUUAAUAAUAUUCAACAGGCUUUUAAAAAUGGCAUUGAAUCUUUUUAGGAGGGCUGUAGUGAGCAGUAUUAAAAUGAACAUCGCCUUUUACACUUUUGAGACUCUGUGUUUCUUUGUAGCUGCAUGCAAUGCCUCUUUGCUAAUUUGAUAGAGGUAUUAUGAAUUCAUAACAAAAUCUGUUAUGAAUAUUUGUGUCUAAAAAGGUGAAAACAUAAAUAACACAGAGUGUCCAUAGAGUGUAAUAUUUAUCAUUUAUCUAAACAUCAAAAAGAUGAUUUAUAUAUUUUUGCCUCUCAUUACUGAUAUCAGUAGUAAUGUUUUCAGCAACGAUCAUGGUUUCUUUAUGGUAGCAAUUAACAAGGAAUAGAAACAUUAUGAAAAUGAUUCACUGAUUUGUUAUGCUUUAUUGCAGCAGUAUAAAAGUGUCAGGAAUAGUGUCUGAAAUCAUGUGAAGGUACGAUGUUGCAUUUAAAAGAAUUAUAUACCUGACCACAUCCUGCUCCUCAUGAUCCUUUUGCCACGUUCAGAACAUUCUCCAGCUUAAUGUGAUCAUUCCCUCUUUAAGAUUGCAUGUCACUGAGUCAGUGAAGUUGUCUGCAUAUUUUUAAAUAAUUUCUCAUUAUUUCUUGGAAAUGGGAACAUUUUUAAUCAGGUCAUACAAAUUUUAUUACAUUGCACAUUUCAUGACUUCAUCAAACUAAUUGAGUCCUUUAAUUCUUUUUCUAAUAGUCUACAUGAUAAAAACCUGUCCCUGAAUUUUGGCACAUGCAGGAAGCAGCCAUCUAUCUUCCCAGCAGUAUCUUCACUCUGUUGACAAUGAAAAUGAAGACUGUACCAUUAGAUUUAAACUUCUGGAGUAGAGAAAUGAAUUAGGAAGAAUUGGCAAUUUUUUUUCUCUCCAUCAUCUGACUUUUAAAUUCAGCAGUGUUUCAGCACUGAGAAAACCAUCUCAGCCCUCAGCUAACGGCUUAUGCCGAGUGAUUGCCUACUGAUUAUGGGACUAUUUAAACAUUGUUAGCUGGUAUCUAUCAUUAGUUUAGUACAGAAAAC